UACGUAGGGGGCAAGCGUUGUCCGGAAUCAUUGGGCGUAAAGAGCGCGUAGGCGGUCCGGUAAGUCGGUUGUGAAAACUGGGGGCUCAACCCUCAGAGGCCGACCGAUACUGCCGGGCUAGAGUCCGGAAGAGGCGAGUGGAAUUCCUGGUGUAGCGGUGAAAUGCGCAGAUAUCGGGAGGAACACCAAUGGCGAAGGCAGCUUGCUGGGACGGUACUGACGCUGAGACGCGAAAGCGUGGGGAGCGAACAGG
rnacentral:rRNA from 1 species